rnacentral:lncRNA from 1 species
CAAGAGAGAGGUUUGUCCAGAGAAAAAUAUAUUACCAAAACCAAAUUUAAUCAACUUCAUUGUUAUUCUCAGCUACCAGCAAACAGAUGUAGAGAACAACACAACGGCACUUAGAAAAGUCUGGAAGGAGUGAGACAAUGAGGAGAAAUUGGUGCUUGGAUACUUUGUGUAACAUGCUUAAAGUCACGUUAAAACUAACACAAACAAUGUCAAGAGCCUCAGUUCUUAAUACUGAAAUUAGGAAGCCAUUGAGGACAGGUAAGUUUGCUAGAUGUGAUAUAUUAGAUAACUCAUAGUGGGUGAAGAAGAGUUAACCAGAAAAACA